rnacentral:lncRNA from 1 species
UACAUAUCUCCAAAGCAAAAAAAAAGAAGAAGAAGUAGGGGCUCACAUGUCAGCUUCAAAGGAUUCAAUCGGACGGCUAAGAAAAAAGAUACUUAGAUGGCUACGUGGAACCCACGUGAACAGAGGGGGACUCGUGCCCACGUCCUCUGGUCCUUCUUUCCCUAAUUCGACGGUCUCUGAUUGCUGAUUACUGAUUACUG